rnacentral:rRNA from 1 species
AACGAACGCUGGCGGCAUGCCUAACACAUGCAAGUCGAACGAGACCUUCGGGUCUAGUGGCGCACGGGUGCGUAACGCGUGGGAACCUGCCCUUAGGUUCGGAAUAACUCCCCGAAAGGGGUGCUAAUACCGGAUAAUGUCUUCGGACCAAAGAUUUAUCGCCUUUGGAUGGGCCCGCGUUGGAUUAGCUAGUUGGUAGGGUAAAAGCCUACCAAGGCGACGAUCCAUAGCUGGUCUGAGAGGAUGAUCAGCCACACUGGGACUGAGACACGGCCCAGACUCCUGCGGGAGCCGGGAGUGGGGAAUAUGGAACAGGGGGCAAAGGCGGUACCCCCCAUGGCCGGGGGAGUGAUGAGGCCUUAGGGUUUAAAAACCUUUUUCCCCCGGAAUAAAAAUGACAGCCCGGGGAGAAAACCCCCCGCCAACCUCCGG